rnacentral:rRNA from 1 species
GAACGGGUGAGUAACACGUGAGCAACCUGCCCCAGGCUUUGGGAUAACCCCGGGAAACCGGGGCUAAUACCGAAUAUGACCUUGCACCGCAUGGUGUUUGGUGGAAAGUUUUUCGGCUUGGGAUGGGCUCGCGGCCUAUCAGCUUGUUGGUGGGGUGAUGGCCUACCAAGGCGACGACGGGUAGCCGGCCUGAGAGGGCGACCGGCCACACUGGGACUGAGACACGGCCCAGACUCCUACGGGAGGCAGCAGUGGGGAAUAUUGCACAAUGGGCGGAAGCCUGAUGCAGCGACGCCGCGUGAGGGAUGACGGCCUUCGGGUUGUAAACCUCUUUCAGCAGGGACGAAGCGUAAGUGACGGUACCUGCAGAAGAAGCGCCGGCCAACUACGUGCCAGCAGCCGCGGUAAGACGUAGGGCGCGAGCGUUGUCCGGAUUUAUUGGGCGUAAAGAGCUCGUAGGCGGCUUGUCGCGUCGACCGUGAAAACCUGGGGCUCAACCCCAGGCCUGCGGUCGAUACGGGCAGGCUAGAGUUCGGUAGGGGAGACUGGAAUUCCUGGUGUAGCGGUGAAAUGCGCAGAUAUCAGGAGGAACACCGGUGGCGAAGGCGGGUCUCUGGGCCGAUACUGACGCUGAGGAGCGA